AGUACGUGUACCUCCACCAGUGCGUGCGGGAUGUGCUGAGGGCCCGGCUGCUGGAGCAUGAGCAGGAGGAGACGCAGCCCCCCGUCUAUGAGAACGUCAACCCCGAGCCCCAGGCGCGGGAGGCCCCCUGACCCGCCGCGCAGUGGUACAGCCCGCCGGUGGAGAGCUGAUGCUGAAGACCAUGCGCAGUGGAUGCCUGGUCACUGAGGAACCAGCGGCACAAAAGAUUUUCCACAUGUAACGCAGCAGAGCGUGAGACUUUACGGUUGCAGUCUGUGUGAACUCUCCCAGUCCUCUGUGAGGAGACGUCAGAAGCUACUUCAUCGUAGCACUGCUGAAGGCAGGAGUCUGAGAAUAUUCAGAUAUUCGGAGAACAACCAGAGCUGCCACCAAUUACCACAGCUGUCAUGGCAACCUUUAGCAAGGCAGCAGAUAAUCGGAGGCACCUGCACAUCAAGCAGAAGAUGUAGAUAAAUCGAUGAGCGAUUACCAAACAUACAGAGCUAAGAAUCACACUGAUAUGACACAGUUAUGUUAGAGAAGCAACAAACAACAGCAAAGCUAAAUUGACGG